rnacentral:rRNA from 1 species
GCCUACUAUUUAACUUAGGUACAACCCUGCCCUCUGACUUUUAACAGCCGCGGUAUCCUAACCGUGCUAAGGUAGCAUAAUCACUUGCCUAUUAAUUAUAGGCUAGAAUGAACGGGAUCACUCACUUAAACUUAUUUUUAUUUAAAUUUAAAUUAAACUUUAAGUCAAAAUACUAAAUUAAAAAGAAAGACAAAAAGACCCUGAAAACUAUUAGAAAUAAUUAGUUGGGGCAACUAUAGACCACUCUAGCGUCUAUUUUUUUUAAACUCUUAAAAUCUAAAGUAUCCAGUUACUUCAGGGAUAACAGACUAAUUUUAUUAUUUAGACCCAAUAAAUAAUAAAGAUUGGCACCUCGAUGUUGGCUUAUAUUUCCUUCAUAUAGCAACAUAUAUAGAAGGCAGCUUGUUCAUCUGUUAAAUAUUUACAUGAGCUGAGUUCAG